GUGAGUAACGCGUGGGAACAUACCUUUUGGUUCGGAACAACCCAGGGAAACUUGGGCUAAUACCGGAUAAGCCCUUACGGGGAAAGAUUUAUCGCCGAAAGAUUGGCCCGCGUCUGAUUAGCUAGUUGGUGAGGUAAUGGCUCACCAAGGCGACGAUCAGUAGCUGGUCUGAGAGGAUGAUCAGCCACAUUGGGACUGAGACACGGCCCAAACUCCUACGGGAGGCAGCAGUGGGGAAUAUUGGACAAUGGGCGCAAGCCUGAUCCAGCCAUGCCGCGUGAGUGAUGAAGGCCCUAGGGUUGUAAAGCUCUUUUGUGCGGGAAGAUAAUGACGGUACCGCAAGAAUAAGCCCCGGCUAACUUCGUGCCAGCAGCCGCGGUAAUACGAAGGGGGCUAGCGUUGCUCGGAAUCACUGGGCGUAAAGGGUGCGUAGGCGGGUCUUUAAGUCAGGGGUGAAAUCCUGGAGCUCAACUCCAGAACUGCCUUUGAUACUGAAGAUCUUGAGUUCGGGAGAGGUGAGUGGAACUGCGAGUGUAGAGGUGAAAUUCGUAGAUAUUCGCAAGAACACCAGUGGCGAAGGCGGCUCACUGGCCCGAUACUGACGCUG
rnacentral:rRNA from 1 species